GAUGAACGCUGGCGGCGUGCUUAACACAUGCAAGUCGAACGAUGAAGCCCAGCUUGCUGGGUGGAUUAGUGGCGAACGGGUGAGUAACACGUGAGUAACCUGCCCUUGACUCUGGGAUAAGCGCUGGAAACGGCGUCUAAUACCGGAUACGAGCUUCCACCGCAUGGUGAGUUGCUGGGAAGAAUUUCGGUCAAGGAUGGACUCGCGGCCUAUCAGGUAGUUGGUGAGGUAACGGCUCACCAAGCCGACGACGGGUAGCCGGCCUGAGAGGGUGACCGGCCACACUGGGACUGAGACACGGCCCAGACUCCUACGGGAGGCAGCAGUGGGGAAUAUUGCACAAUGGGCGCAAGCCUGAUGCAGCAACGCCGCGUGAGGGACGAAGGCCUUCGGGUCGUAAACCUCUUUUAGCAGGGAAGAAGCGAAAGUGACGGUACCUGCAGAAAAAGCACCGGCUAACUACGUG
rnacentral:rRNA from 1 species